GAUGAACGCUGGCGGCGUGCUUAACACAUGCAAGUCGAACGGAAAGGCUCCUGCUUGCAGGGGUACUCGAGUGGCGAACGGGUGAGUAACACGUGGGUGAUCUGCCCUGCACUUCGGGAUAAGCCUGGGAAACUGGGUCUAAUACCGGAUAGGACGAUGGUUUGGAUGCCAUUGUGGAAAGUUUUUCGGUGUGGGAUGAGCUCGCGGCCUAUCAGCUUGUUGGUGGGGUAAUGGCCUACCAAGGCGUCGACGGGUAGCCGGCCUGAGAGGGUGUACGGCCACAUUGGGACUGAGAUACGGCCCAGACUCCUACGGGAGGCAGCAGUGGGGAAUAUUGCCCAAUGGGCGCAAGCCUGAUGCAGCGACGCCGCGUGGGGGAUGACGGCCUUCGGGUUGUAAACUCCUUUCGCUAGGGACGAAGCGCAAGUGACGGUACCUGAAGAAGAAGCACCGGCUAACUACGUG
rnacentral:rRNA from 1 species